AAAACUUUGUAGCACAGAAUGAGUAGCUAUCUACUCAUUCUAUAAUAUAUCUAAUGUCAUCUUUUUUUUGAAAUUCCCAAUUUGGGUGUCAAGUUUGAACUCUGAGGUAGAGUGGAAAACUGGGUUUGUUUCAAUGUGUGUACUAGUUAAAAGCAAAGGUAUGUAAUGUUAAAGUCUGGCAAUCAAUUGGUAAAGAAUAAAUCACAAAGGACUAGUUUUAUUAGAAAUACAGAUCUUUUCAUCCUAUUAAAGGAGAGCCUUUACCUUGGCUGAUGCUUAGCUUGGGUUUGAAGGAGUUAUCCAUUCCACAGCUCAUCAAAAUAGGGAACUGACUGCACUCAGUUAAGGUGCUUUGACAAGCAUUAAAAAAGUACUUCACCUGGCUAACUCAUGUUGGAGUUUAUCUGAUUAACCCCCUUAUUCCUAAUUUUAAUAUUUAGGAGAUUCUUGCAGUUUGCAAGGGAUUGAAGUGGCACAUACCCUGAGUGCAUUGGGGUGGAAAACAGUUUUGAUAAAUAUUAACACUGGAGUACGUCAUCAUGCAAAAACACCAGGACUUUAAGAAACUGAACUUGGGGAGAAAUAGCUUGCACUUGCUAUUAUAUUUCACAUUCUUGCCUAUUGAAUAAAAAUAAAAGUGAUGAAUUAGUUGCCCUACAGAUUUAUUCAUUUGUAAGGUGUAAUAGCUUAUUGUGUAGUCAUUGGUGAUUGUAAACCCAGUGUUGGUUGGGGGAUACGAUAGGCAAGGAUGUCAGUACAUCAUUAGGAUGCAGAAUUCAGGCACAUCUGGUAAUUAGAAGCAAAUGUCCAAGUUCCUUAAGUUUGUUCUUAUGCCAAUGUUUAGCAUGUAUUUCCUUAAGAAUGAUGCUUCACAAAACAAUUGAACCUGAGUAUGACAUGCUACUUGAAACUUAAGUCUAGGCCAGUCUCUAUUCAGGAAAAUAUAGUCAGGCUUCAGGUUGUACUCUGGCCAUGUUAAGCAAUAAAAUGUUGAGUGUUUUCAAUCUUUAUUAUAAUAUUAGGGAUUGCAGGCUGGACUGGACAGCCAGGAAGGACUGCAUCAAAUACUGAACCUAGUGCCUACAGUUACUUGUAUUUUUUUCCUCUGGCAGUCCUAUUCCGUGACAGAAGAGGUGGUCAGUUUUGCCCAGUAAAAUAAUCUGUAUGUGCAAACACUUGAGACAUUGGUACAAAUUGAUAGCCACCAAGAACAAGUGGCUAGAAUAGACACUUAACCUGGGAAUGUGAUCAUGUCCUACAAGCACUAAACUAUACAGACAGAAGGUAAUGAUUAUUAUUUGGCACUUGAGUACCUAGUUAAGGAAGACGGGAGAGUUAUGGACAAGUACAAUAAAAGGUUCCAACAUAUUUUUUGUUAAAAAUAAAGCAAAAGAAGUGUGCUGAUUUAAGUUUCAUCUCCUUUUCCUUAGUCUGUCCAUGUGAAUGGCUGUGUGGAAGAGUAAAAGAAAGGGCCCAUCUAAAUGUGUUCCAGAGAUUCCAAUAGGUAUUCCAAAUUCAUUGCUGCUUGUGUAUUUAACAUUGUGUUAGGUUUCUAAGAGCACCUAUAAAGUUGAUUGGCAACCAGAUGGACAGAUCUCUAACAGGAAGGUUUUAAAUAACAUGCUUAUUUUUAGGUUUAUGAGUCCUUUACAUGGUGUUCAGUGUGCUUCCUACUUCACAGGAGUGCAAAGCAGGGAAGACAGGAUACAUUUCUGUUCUGGGAACUGUGAAGUGCAGUGAGGAAGUACGCUUGAGGCAUACAGAGGGAUGGGAAGAGUUUGAUUAUAGCGUUUAAUCGACUGUUUGAAAUUACUUGAAAGCCUUAGAGGAAACGUCUCACCUAUACCAGAAUAAUGUCUUUAUAUUAAGUGAGGAGAAUUAGUAGCAAUUCUAGGGGUAUUGUUGCUUAGUGAAGCAGAGCGCUACUCUAAACAACAUGUUGUCUUUUAAGUACAGUUACCCUUACCCUAGAGAAGGGAAGACGUUAUGAAUGUGAUGGUUGAGAAAAUCUCCAGCUAGUUAUGAUGGCCCUACCCGUUUCCCAGCAAUUCAGAGUAGGAGAUGCCUUUCUGGCUUUACCUCAUCAUACAUAGUGAUAUUCACAACUCACUUAAUUUUAAGUCUGUAAUUUGCAACUAAUUUAGUGCUCACUUAAACUGGAGAAUACAGUGCUUUCAGUUAUAUUCAUAAUAAUUUUCUUGUCCCAACAGUUAACCUUUCCAGGAAAAAAAAACUUUAAAUGGAACUUCAUGUACAAAAUGAGCUGUGUGAUACCAGUAUUGGGUGGUUUAGAUACUGGUGUAUUGACCCAAUUUGAUAUUUUAACAUGCUUUAAAACAUGAAUAGAAAACCAUUACAAGUCUGAAUUACGAAAAAUUGUUAACUCAUGAUUUGCUUACCCAAAGAAUAGCACAUAUUUAACUUGACUUUUAAAGGGGUGUUUGGCCCCUGUCACAGAUCUUUAUCUAGGAAUAGAAGGAUUCAAACUUUACUUGAUCCCUAGCUCUGUGCUGAAAAGUGCAUAAACAGGAAUCCUGAAUUUAUUAUAUAGACCUCCUCGCAUUAUAUAAUCGAAGCAAAGGGAAACCAGCGAUGGAGUUAGAGCUAGUUAGCUGGUGCCACUGUUCCUAUCACCUAGUGUGAAGUUUGGAGUUAAUGGGACAAUGAAGGAGGCAGUGCCCUGCAGACCCCGGAAUAGGCAUGGAAGGUCUGCCUUUUGCUGUGGAAUGAAGUAACCUUGGUAAUGAUGAAGGUAUAGGAGAUUUUACUAGCCAAGAGGUUUCUUAUAGGUAAGCCCAAGGUAAGCUGUAAUUGCAGGUUUUAGAUGCGGGGGCUUGAGUUGGCUGUCCAGUUUUGCAUGCUACCCCCUUAGCAAACAAGCUGAGAGCAUAGCUGUCCUUUGUACAGCUUGUUAAAUGGGAAAUUACCAAGUAAUGCCUACUAGUAUUCUCCCUCGUCUAUGUAUGCAGUGCUGCUGCUUAAAACAUGAGUGACAUACAUAAACACAACUGCACACAUGUGUCGGGGGUAUCCUGGGGCUUGGCCUAAGUGCUGUCUCUGAGCUUUUUUGCUCAUAGCUAGCUCUCUACCGUUUUGAGCCACGGUGGUAUUUCCAGGUGGUUAAUUGGAGGCAAGUCUGAUACUUUCCUGCUCUGGCUGGCUUUGAACCAUAGUCCUCGGGUCAUAGUUACUUAGGAUAAUAGCUAGGGUUACAGGCAUGAGCUACCAACCCCCUCUUUCAGUUAGGUGGUCAUGACCUCUUUGAUUAUUUAUGUUCUAUGGUAAGAGUGGACAGAGCUUUUAAACUUCCUUUUUCACUAACUUUCCCUUACCAAUGUUUGACAGCAUUUGCUAGUAGUUAUUUGGAAAAGCCAUAUAACUUCAGCACUUUGUCCCUCACAGUAACAGCCGACACAUUUUGUAGACACAGUGGGGAAAACAAUGUAAAACAAAGGAGUGUUUUCAAGACCUGUGCCUUACUCCAUUGAGCCUUGACCCAUCAAAGGAAUAGGACCAAGAACAUCUGAAGUCCCUGACCUAGUGACGUUUCUCCCUCCACAGUACACUCAACCAGUUCUUAAACAUGUAGCUAGUUUAGUUAAUAUUAUUUGGAAAAGAAAUGGCCAGGCACCCGUGGCUCACUCCUGUGAUUCUAGUUGAGUAGGAGGCUGUUUUGAGAGGACUGUGGUGCAAAGCCAUCUGGAUCAGGAAAGUCCAUGAGACUCCACUUCACCACCCAGAAAGCUAGAAGUGCACUAGCCUUGCGUAAAAAUUACCUCAGGGCACAGAGCCCAAGCCCUGACUUCAAGUCCCACAGUACACAAAGAAUGGUGGCAUUAUACGUGAUUGUCCUAAGAAAGGGGUGAAGCGGUGAGGUGUGUGCUCCUGGCAGUGGCUUUUUCAGGGCUGUGCUAGUGUAUAAUUCCUUGUCUGCGACAUGACUCGUGGUAGAGUGGUUGCCAAGGAAGUAUAAAACCCUGAUGAGUUCAAGCCCAGUACCUGGGGGGAAAACCUUAAAC